CGGCGGACGGGNGAGUAACACGUGGGUAACCUACCUAUAAGACUGGGACAACUUCGGGAAACCGGAGCUAAUACCGGAUAAGAUAUCGAACCGCAUGGUUCGAUAGUGAAAGAUGGUUUUGCUAUCACUUAUAGAUGGACCCGCGCCGUAUUAGCUAGUUGGUGAGGUAACGGCUCACCAAGGCAACGAUACGUAGCCGACCUGAGAGGGUGAUCGGCCACACUGGAACUGAGACACGGUCCAGACUCCUACGGGAGGGCAGCAGC
rnacentral:rRNA from 1 species